rnacentral:rRNA from 1 species
GUGUCAGCAGCCGCGGUAAUACAGAGGGUGCAAGCGUUAAUCGGAUUUACUGGGCGUAAAGCGCGCGUAGGCGGCUAAUUAAGUCAAAUGUGAAAUCCCUGAGCUUAACUUAGGAGUUGCAUUCGAUACUGGGAAGCUAGAGUAUGGGAGAGGAUGGUAGAAUUCCAGGUGUAGCGGUGAAAUGCGUAGAGAUCUGGAGGAAUACCGAUGGCGAAGGCAGCCAUCUGGCCUAAUACUGACGCUGAGGUACGAAAGCAUGGGGAGCAAACAGGAUUAGAAACCCUUGUAGUCC